rnacentral:rRNA from 1 species
GACGAACGCUGGCGGUGUGCUUAACACAUGCAAGUCGAACGGUAAGGCCCUUUCGGGGGUACACGAGUGGCGAACGGGUGAGUAACACGUGGGUAACCUGCCCUCAUCUCUGGGAUAACAGUCGGAAACGGUUGCUAAUACUGGAUAUGAGCUUGCAAGGCAUCUUGUGGGUUGGAAAGAUUUUUUUUGGUUGGGGAUGGACUCGCGGCCUAUCAGCUUGUUGGUGAGGUAGUGGCUCACCAAGGCUUCGACGGGUAGCCGGCCUGAGAGGGCGACCGGCCACAUUGGGACUGAGAUACGGCCCAAACUCCUACGGGAGGCAGCAGUGGGGAAUAUUGCACAAUGGACGGAAGUCUGAUGCAGCAACGCCGCGUGCGGGAUGACGGCCUUCGGGUUGUAAACCGCUUUCAAUUGUGACGAAGCUUUUUUGUGACGGUAGCAGUAGAAGAAGCACCGGCUAACUACGUG